rnacentral:rRNA from 1 species
GAUGAACGCUGGCGGCGUGCCUAAUACAUGCAAGUCGAGCGAACAGGCGAGGAGCUUGCUCCUUUGACGUUAGCGGCGGACGGGUGAGUAACACGUGGGUAACCUACCUAUAAGACUGGGAUAACUUCGGGAAACCGGAGCUAAUACCGGAUAAUAUUUCGAACCGCAUGGUUCGAUAGUGAAAGAUGGCUUUGCUAUCACUUAUAGAUGGACCUGCGCCGUAUUAGCUAGUUGGUAAGGUAACGGCUUACCAAGGCAACGAUACGUAGCCGACCUGAGAGGGUGAUCGGCCACACUGGAACUGAGACACGGUCCAGACUCCUACGGGAGGCAGCAGUAGGGAAUCUGCCGCAAUGGGCGAAAGCCUGACGGAGCAACGCCGCGUGAGUGAUGAAGGUCUUCGGAUCGUAAAACUCUGUUAUUAGGGAAGAACAAACGUGUAAGUAACUGUGCACGUCUUGACGGUACCUAAUCAGAAAGCCACGGCUAACUACGUG